GUGAGGGAGGUGGAGGGGAGGCGGGGAGGGGGCUGCUGUGUUUAUCCAAGUGCUCCAGCGGCUGCGGGAGUUUUCUGCUUGUGUUUAUAUUUUCAGAAGGGGGCUGAAGAGCUAUGCCCAGACUGGAGCACGAGUCUGCUUGCUGGUGUGUUUCUCAGUCCAGUUUGAUUUUUUAAAGGUACCCUCCAUGGGACAGAACUCUGCUUACAAACUUUAAAACUGGAUGAUGCAAAAAUUACCUGCACAGCAGAGGAGGACAACGAACCAUAGUAAGUUUAAGUGAUGGAUUCUUUAAUCUAUCAUUAAUUUGUACAGAUAAGUCAAAGAAAGGUAGUAGCAGAUACGGAGCCCUCGCCGUGUACGCAACGCUUGACAUCCUUUCUCACUGAGUCCCCACAGUAGACCUAGUGCUGCCAUUUUGCAGGAAUUGAGAACAGAAAGGAUCAUUAAACAUCACCUACUCCAAAUGCAUUCGUUUCCAGAACUCCACA
rnacentral:lncRNA from 1 species